rnacentral:rRNA from 1 species
UACGUAGGGGGCAAGCGUUGUCCGGAUUUACUGGGCGUAAAGAGCGUGUAGGCGGCCAAGCAGGUCCGUUGUGAAAACUCGAGGCUCAACCUCGAGACGCCGGUGGAAACUGCAAAGCUAGAGUCCGGAAGAGGAGAGUGGAAUUCCUGGUGUAGCGGUGAAAUGCGCAGAUAUCAGGAAGAACACCCGUGGCGAAGGCGGCUCGCUGGGACGGUACUGACGCUGAGGCGCGAAAGCGUGGGGAGCAAACAGG